AGUGAACGCUGGCGGUAGGCCUAACACAUGCAAGUCGAACGGCAGCACAGUAAGAGCUUGCUCUUACGGGUGGCGAGUGGCGGACGGGUGAGGAAUACAUCGGAAUCUACUUUUUCGUGGGGGAUAACGUAGGGAAACUUACGCUAAUACCGCAUACGACCUACGGGUGAAAGCAGGGGAUCUUCGGACCUUGCGCGAUUGAAUGAGCCGAUGUCGGAUUAGCUAGUUGGCGGGGUAAAGGCCCACCAAGGCGACGAUCCGUAGCUGGUCUGAGAGGAUGAUCAGCCAAACUGGAACUGAGACACGGUCCAGACUCCUACGGGAGGCAGCAGUGGGAAUAUUGGACAAUGGGCGCAAGCCUGAUCCAGCCAUACCGCGUGGGUGAAGAAGGCCUUCGGGUUGUAAAGCCCUUUUGUUGGGAAAGAAAAGCAGCAGGUUAAUACCCCGCUGUUCUGACGGUACCCAAAGAAUAAGCACCGGCUAACUUCGU
rnacentral:rRNA from 1 species